rnacentral:rRNA from 1 species
UAGGGAAUCUUCGGCAAUGGGGGCAACCCUGACCGAGCAACGCCGCGUGAGUGAAGAAGGUUUUUCGGAUCGUAAAGCUCUGUUGUAAGUCAAGAACGGGUGUGAGAGUGGAAAGUUCACACUGUGACGGUAGCUUACCAGAAAGGGACGGCUAACUACGUGCCAGCAGCCGCGGUAAUACGUAGGUCCCGAGCGUUGUCCGGAUUUAUUGGGCGUAAAGCGAGCGCAGGCGGUUUGAUAAGUCUGAAGUUAAAGGCUGUGGCUCAACCAUAGUUCGCUUUGGAAACUGUCAAACUUGAGUGCAGAAG